rnacentral:rRNA from 1 species
GACGAACGCUGGCGGCGUGCUUAACACAUGCAAGUCGAACGGUAAGGCCCUUCGGGGUACACGAGUGGCGAACGGGUGAGUAACACGUGGGUGAUCUGCCCUGCACUUCGGGAUAAGCCUGGGAAACUGGGUCUAAUACCGGAUAGGACCACUGCCUGCAUGGGUGGUGGUGGAAAGCUUUUGCGGGGUGGGAUGGGCCCGCGGCCUAGCAGCUUGUUGGUGGGGUGAAGGCCUACCAAGGCGACGACGGGUAGCCGGCCUGAGAGGGUGACCGGCCACACUGGGACUGAGAUACGGCCCAGACUCCUACGGGAGGCAGCAGUGGGGAAUAUUGCACAAUGGGCGCAAGCCUGAUGCAGCGACGCCGCGUGAGGGAUGACGGCCUUCGGGUUGUAAACCUCUUUCAGCACCGACGAAGCGCAAGUGACGGUAGGUGCAGAAGAAGGACCGGCCAACUACGUGCCAGCCGCCGCAGUAA